AAAAAAAAAAAAAACUAUGAAUCAACCUGAGAGACCUCAAUGGAGAGAAACUCGAUGAGUGGGGAUCAAAGGCACGGCAGUGUCCUACUUUUUUAAUUCAUCGGACCGGAGACAGUUUCGAAUGUCUGAAGUGACGUCACACGACGUACACAUUCACUCGCACCUAUCUUUUGCUUCAGUGCCUGAGCGGGUCGCACUGUGAAAAAUUUCCAUGAAUUGAAGGUGUUUUCCUCGCAAAAUUCCAUUAACAACUUUUUUGUUGUUGUUGGCUAUAAAUUAGAACGAAUAAAUUAAAUGAAAUGUUAAAAAA